rnacentral:rRNA from 1 species
AUGUUGUGCGACAACCUUAAGGCCACCUUGGUCACCCUCCCAAAUAACACCUCCUCCUCCCCGGUACGCUUCGCCACUGCCGCCUUCGGCCGAGCCCCCGACAUCGUCUACGCAUUCACGAUCUGCCGCGGCGACAUCGUCGGCGUCAUCUCCAACCAGUCCUACUGCCGCGAGUGCGUCAGCAACAUGACUGACAAGGUGUUGAACGCUGCGCCGCAGCAGUGCUACAACGGCACCUACCACGACUAUGGUGACCGCUGUAUCCUCGUCUACUCCACAGACGACAUCAUCGCGCCGCCGUCUGGCGAAAACGGCGGUGAUGACACGCCAGUCGAGAGAUGGAACGACAAGAACGUCACCGGCGAUGCGGAUGAGGUCCGCCUCAUCACCGGCCUCAUCCGUGAGCUUCUGGUGCAGACGGUGGAGAAGGCGGCCAGCGCGGCACCGAUGCGAUUUGCCACAUGCAUCAUGGACAGCGGCACGACCUUCCCGAUGGUGCGCUCCUUGGCGCAGUGCAGACCAGACGCAUCCACCGUCGACUACUUGGCGUGCCUGCGUCGUCUCCUCGGCGUGGUCAACGCCACCAUGUCCCUACGCAUGGGAGCACAGAUCAACGCCAUACGGUGUUAUUUCAGGUACGAGGUGUAUCGGUUCUAUGGCGGUGAAGCGACGCUGCGCCUCACGCCACCGCCGGCGCCGUCGCUAGCUCCGACUCCGGCAAAACGCAAGAGGAGUAUGAGCAAACUGUGGGCAAUUCCCAUAGUUAUAGUUCCUAUAGUGGCAGCAGCAUUUCUGUGCUUCAUCUUUUGCUCCCGUCGGAUUACAAGGAAAAGAAGAGAGAUUAAUUCAGAGUUCUCAACCAUAUACUACUCAAACUUAGGUAAAGCGGGAGAGGAAGAACUAGGAUGGCAAGGGAAGUAUUCAGAGUUCUCCAUGUUUGAGUUUGAACAGGUACUAGUGGCCACAAAUAAUUUUUCAGAAGAAAACAAACUUGGAGAAUGUGGCUUUGGCACUGUCUACAAGGGCCAGUUACCCGAGGGAUCAGAGAUAGCACUUAAGAGACUUGCUCCACAUUCGGGUCAAGGUUUCACAGAGUUCAAAAAUGAAGUCCAGCUCAUAGCCAAACUAAAGCAUAGGAAUUUGGUUAGGCUCUUAGGUUGUUGCUCUCAUGAAGACGAGAAAAUAUUGGUCUAUGAAUAUUUGUCAAACAAAAGCUUGGCUUCCUUCAUCUUUGAUGAAAAUAAAAGAGCUUUGCUAGAUUGGUCCACACUUUUAGCAAUAAUUCAAGGAAUAGCUCAUGGACUUCUUUACCUACAUAAGCACUCCCAAUUGCGCGUCAUACAUCGAGAUCUUAAACCGAGCAACAUUCUCUUGGAUAGCGAAAUGAAUCCAAAAAUUUCAGACUUUGGGCUAGCAAAAAUAUUCAACUCAAAUAGC